CGCAUCUGUGCAUGCAGCAUAUCAAUAAGCGGAGGAAAAGAAACUAACAAGGAUUCCCCUAGUAACGGCGAGUGAAGCGGGAAGAGCUCAAAUUUGAAAUCUUAAAGGGUUUCCCUUUACGAAUUGUAGUUUAAAGAAGUGUUUUCUGUUGAGGUUUUGGUAAAAGUUCUUUGGAAUAGGACAUCAUAGAGGGUGAGAAUCCCGUAUUUGACCUUUACUUUCAACUUUGUGAUACACUUUCAAAGAGUCGGAUUGUUUGGGAAUGCAGUCCAAAAUGGGUGGUAAAUUUCAUCUAAAGCUAAAUAUUGGCGAGAGACCGAUAGCGAACAAGUACCGUGAGGGAAAGAUGAAAAGAACUUUGAAAAGAGAGUUAAACAGUACGUGAAAUUGUCAAAAGGGAAGCGUUUGACACCAGUGUUGUUUUUCUGAAAAUCAAUUAAAGAACUGUUUAUGCUAAGCUUGUUUAGACUUUAUCAGCUAACUGUUUAGUUUUGAGCUUUUCUUUAAUGCACUUUUCAGUUAACAAGUCAACAUCAAUUUCUUUUGCUGUAAAAAAGCUUGAGGAAGGUGGCUUGAGAUUCGUCUUAAGUGUUUAUAGCCUCUUGCCUAUGCAGUCGGAGAGAUUGAGGUCUGCAGCGUAGAUCCUUCGGGGCUAAAUGCAUUUGUGCUAAGUUAUAGCAUUUUAUAGACAACUUGUUGACUAUGAUUUGUCUUGUAGCUUACUCGCUUAUGUUAUUUUACCUACGCUUAGGAUGUUGAACGCGCACAGAGUCUC
rnacentral:rRNA from 1 species